rnacentral:rRNA from 1 species
UCCAGACUCCUACGGGAGGCAGCAGUGGGGGAUAUUGCACAAUGGGGGAAACCCUGAUGCAGCGACGCCGCGUGGGCGAAGAAGUAUUUCGGUAUGUAAAGCCCUCUCAGCAGGGAAGAAGAAAUGACGGUACCUGAGUAAGAAGCACCGGCUAAAUACGUGCCAGCAGCCGCGGUAAUACGUAUGGUGCAAGCGUUAUCCGGAUUUACUGGGUGUAAAGGGAGCGCAGGCGGCACGGCAAGCCUGAUGUGAAAGCCCGCGGCCCAACCGCGGGACUGCAUUGGGAACUGCCCCGCUCGAGUGCCGGAGGGGCAGGCGGAAUUCCUAGUGUAGCGGUGAAAUGCGUAGAUAUUAGGAGGAACACCAGUGGCGAAGGCGGCCUGCUGGACGGUGUACUGACGCUGAGGCUCGAAAGCGUGGGGAGCAAACAGGAUUAGAUACCCGCGUACC